AAUACGCUGAGAGUAUAAAACGACACAGAUUUUGAGUUAGUGUCACGUAAUAUCAGCAGGUUAUCUUUUACCAGCUUUGUAUCUACAGGUAUCUACAGACAGUCUGAAGUGUCAAAAUGCGUAAUAUCACUGUUUUGACUCUGUUCUUUGCCGUACUCUUGGCAACCACAUUGGAAGCUGCAACCAACAAUUCGACAACCACAACUACUGCACCACCU